rnacentral:lncRNA from 1 species
AAUGUUGAAGGCUUGUGGUUGCACUUGUCUACGCCGAAAUAUGUAGCAAUUAAAAAUGAAGCCUUUGAAAAAAUGAUUAAACUAAGGUUACUCAAAAUCCACAAUGCUUAUGUUUCUCGAGGCCCUAAUCACUUGCCGAAUGAGAUAAGGUGGCUAAACUGGCAUGGUUACCCUUCAAAAUCCCUUCCAGAUAGUUUUCAAGCUGAAAAACUUGUAGGAAUCAAGUUACAAAAUAGCCGAAUCAUUGAGCUGUGGAAGGGAAUAAAGGUGCCAUCUUAAAUCACAUUUUAAUAUUAUUACCUAAUAAAGCUUGUUUGAUCAUACAAUAUUGUCUUUCUUAUUUUUGUCUUACAAUCUUCUGACUUUUGACAGUUUCUGAACAAACUGAAAUUCAUCAACCUUAGCCAUUCCCAGAAGUUAAUAAGGACUCCAGAUUUCACAGGGAUCCCCUCUCUUGAGAGAUUGGUUCUUGAAAAUUGUUCAAGUCUAAUUGAGAUCCACUCUUCAGCAGGAUAUCUCAAAAGUCUUAAAUUACUCAAUCUGCGGAACUGCACAAGUCUAAGGAGGCUUCCUAAGCAAAUUCUCUUGGAAAGUCUGGAGGUAAUUAUUCUUUCUGGCUGUUCAAAAGUUGAUGAGUUCCCAGAAAUCUUGGGUCCCAUGAAUCAUUUAAGAGCUGUAUAUUGGGAAGCUACUGCAGUAAAAGAACUACCACCUUCAAUUGAAAACCUAACAGCUCUUGUUGUAUUGAAUCUAAGCUACUGUAAAAGUCUUGCAAGUUUGCCAAGUAGUAUCUCUAAACUAAAAUGCCUUAAGGCACUUAUUCUUUCUGGCUGCUCAAAGCUUGGCAGAUUACCGGAAGAGCUGGGGUACAUAGAGAGCUUGGAAGAAAUUUAUGGUGAUGAAACUGCCAUCUCACAGCCACCAUCCUCUAUCAUAUUGCUAAAGAACCUCAGAACUUUAUCUUUCAGAGGAUGUCAAGCAAUGGCUCUUUCAUGGAGAGCACGGUUAUCUUCUUUGGUGCUACAUGCAAGAGGUCAAGAUUCAAGGGGUUUUGUUUUUCCAUCUGUGUCAGGAUUAAAUUCAUUAGCAAUUCUAGAUCUUAGUGACUGCAGUAUGUUAGAUGAAGGAUUGCCUUGUGAUCUGGGGAGCUUAUCCUCUCUACAGGAGUUAAAUCUUGGUAGAAACAACUUCUCCAGUAUCUCCGCUUCAAGUAUCAGAAACCUCAGCCGCCUUAGAAUCCUCGAAUUGAUUGGAUGCAAGAGGCUUCAGAUACUUCCAGAGCUUCCACGGAGUAUAGAGCAAGUGUACGCAGAUGAUUGUACAAUAUUGCAGGGUGAAACUAAUCUGUUGACAAAAUCUCAAAAAUUAAACACGGUUUCAUUCACCAAUUGUUUUCAAAUGCUUCAGGGUCUUCAAACUUCCAAAAUGGUAUAUGCAACAUGGAAGA